rnacentral:rRNA from 1 species
AACGAACGCUGGCGGCAUGCCUAACACAUGCAAGUCGAACGAGACCUUCGGGUCUAGUGGCGCACGGGUGCGUAACGCGUGGGAACCUGCCCUUAGGUUCGGAAUAACUCCCCGAAAGGGGUGCUAAUACCGGAUAAUGUCUUCGGACCAAAGAUUUAUCGCCUUUGGAUGGGCCCGCGUUGGAUUAGCUAGUUGGUAGGGUAAAAGCCUACCAAGGCGACGAUCCAUAGCUGGUCUGAGAGGAUGAUCAGCCACACUGGGCAUGAGACACGGCCCAGACUCCUACGGGAGGCAGCAGUGGGGAAUAUUGGACAAUGGGCGAAAGCCUGAUCCAGCAAUGCCGCGUGAGUGAUGAAGGCCUUAGGGUUGUAAAGCUCUUUUACCCGGGAUGAUAAUGACAGUACCGGGAGAAUAAGCACCGGCUAACUCCGUG